CCUGCGUAAUAUCCUGCAUGGAAAUCCAUCGGCUUCCCCAGCUGUUGGAGCCAGAUGGAUGUUGGGUUGCCGUUCGAUAGACCCUCUGGCUCCACUGCACAAAGCCCCCCCUGCAGGAGACCAGUCCAGCCACACACAAAGGUCGAUCGUCAACUGUUGACACAACUGGCUCAUUCAGACUAUUUCACCUGAGGCUUCGGCCUUCCUCAUAAAACCCCCAACCUGCGGUCUGACAUAAAGCGACAGCGAAGAGAAUCCAUGAAAACUGCUGAGCGACACAAGCAAGAUAUGGAAGCCUUCCUGUGAAAACUGGAUACCUGGACCUUCUCCGCCUGGAAGGAAUUACUGAGAUUACACUAAGCAGGGGAAAACCUCCACACGAUCCGUUCAAGUCCCCAUUGGAAAUCCAAAUGACAGUCCGCUCCAUUACUCCUCUGGGUCCAACAUAUGUCUACCUGUCCGUCCUCCAACGAGUUCCCUUUUCUCUGGAUAAUCCCACAUAGACUGGAUUCAAGGACUGACAAGAGCCCCCUCAAAAACUUUCCAGUUCCGGUUCACCAGUUCACUGAGUUUCAGAUCCAACCUCUGUUUACAUUACAUCAAAUAAACCUGUU